rnacentral:rRNA from 1 species
AGUGAACGCUGGCGGCGUGGCUUAGGCAUGCAAGUCGAACGCGAAAGUCUUCGGACAAGUAGAGUGGCGAAAGGGUGAGUAAUGCAUAGAUAACCUACCCUCAGGACCGGAAUAACCGCUGGAAACGGCGGCUAAUGCCGGAUGGUCUGACCGGGCGGCAUCGUCUGGUCAGUAAAUGGUUGCUUCCGGGCUUCUGCCGGAGGGGAGGGUCUA